rnacentral:rRNA from 1 species
GACGAACGCUGGCGGCGUGCUUAACACAUGCAAGUCGAACGGAAAGGCCCUGCUUUUGUGGGGUGCUCGAGUGGCGAACGGGUGAGUAACACGUGAGUAACCUGCCCUUGACUUUGGGAUAACUUCAGGAAACUGGGGCUAAUACCGGAUAGGAGCUCCUGCUGCAUGGUGGGGGUUGGAAAGUUUCGGCGGUUGGGGAUGGACUCGCGGCUUAUCAGCUUGCUGGUGGGGUAGUGGCUUACCAAGGCUUUGACGGGUAGCCGGCCUGAGAGGGUGACCGGCCACAUUGGGACUGAGAUACGGCCCAGACUCCUACGGGAGGCAGCAGUGGGGAAUAUUGCACAAUGGGCGGAAGCCUGAUGCAGCAACGCCGCGUGCGGGAUGACGGCCUUCGGGUUGUAAACCGCUUUCGCCUGUGACGAAGCGUGAGUGACGGUAAUGGGUAAAGAAGCACCGGCUAACUACGUGCCAGCAGCCGCGGUGAUACGUAGGGUGCGAGCGUUGUCCGGAUUUAUUGGGCGUAAAGGGCUCGUAGGUGGUUGAUCGCGUCGGAAGUGUAAUCUUGGGGCUUAACCCUGAGCGUGCUUUCGAUACGGGUUGACUUGAGGAAGGUAGGGGAGAAUGGAAUUCCUGGUGGAGCGGUGGAAUGCGCAGAUAUCAGGAGGAACACCAGUGGCGAAGGCGGUUCUCUGGGCCUUUCCUGACGCUGAGGAGCGAAAGCGUGGGGAGCGAACAGGCUUAGAUACCCUGGUAGUCCACGCUGUAAACGGUGGGUACUAGGUGUGGGGUCCAUUCCACGGGUUCCGUGCCGUAGCUAACGCUUUAAGUACCCCGCCUGGGGAGUACGGCCGCAAGGCUAAAACUCAAAGGAAUUGACGGGGCCCCGCACAAGCGGCGGAGCAUGCGGAUUAACUCGAUGCAACGCGUAGAACCUUACCUGGGUUUGACAUGGAUCGGGAGUGCUCAGAGAUGGGUGUGCCUCUUUUGGGGUCGGUUCACAGGUGGUGCAUGGCUGUCGUCAGCUCGUGUCGUGAGAUGUUGGGUUAAGUCCCGCAACGAGCGCAACCCUUGUUCACUGUUGCCAGCACGUUAUGGUGGGGACUCAGUGGAGACCGCCGGGGUCAACUCGGAGGAAGGUGGGGAUGACGUCAAGUCAUCAUGCCCCUUAUGUCCAGGGCUUCACGCAUGCUACAAUGGCUGGUACAGAGAGUGGCGAGCCUGUGAGGGUGAGCGAAUCUCGGAAAGCCGGUCUCAGUUCGGAUUGGGGUCUGCAACUCGACCUCAUGAAGUCGGAGUCGCUAGUAAUCGCAGAUCAGCAACGCUGCGGUGAAUACGUUCCCGGG